AUUGAACGCUGGCGGCAGGCCUAACACAUGCAAGUCGAACGCGUGGCGGACGGGUGAGUAAUGUCUGUGAAACUGCCCGUGGUAGGGGGGUAACUACUGGAAACGGUGUCUAAUACCCCGUACCAUCGGAUGUGCCCCGAUGGGAUUAGCUAGUAGGUGGGGUAACGGCUCACCUAGGCGACGAUCCCUAGCUGGUCUGAGAGGAUGACCAGCCACACUGGAACUGAGACACGGUCCAGACUCCUACGGGAGGCAGCAGUGGGGAAUAUUGCACAAUGGGCGCAAGCCUGAUGCAGCCAUGCCGCGUGUAUGAAGAAGGCCUUCGGGUUGUAAAGUACUUUCAGCGAGGAGGCGUUACCCGCAGAAGAAGCACCGGCUAACUCCGUGCCAGCAGCCGCGGUAAUUC
rnacentral:rRNA from 1 species